rnacentral:rRNA from 1 species
AGCCUGAUGCAGCGACGCCGCGUGAGGGAUGACGGCCUUCGGGUUGUAAACCUCUUUCGCUCAUGGUCAAGCCGCAACAAUGGUUGUGGUGAGGGUAGUGGGUAAAGAAGCGCCGGCUAACUACGUGCCAGCAGCCGCGGUAAUACGUAGGGCGCGAGCGUUGUCCGGAAUUAUUGGGCGUAAAGAGCUCGUAGGCGGCUGGUCGCGUCUGUCGUGAAAUCCUCUGGCUUAACUGGGGGCUUGCGGUGGGUACGGGCCGGCUUGAGUGCGGUAGGGGAGACUGGAACUCCUGGUGUAGCGGUGGAAUGCGCAGAUAUCAGGAAGAACACCGGUGGCGAAGGCGGGUCUCUGGGCCGUUACUGACGCUGAGGAGCGAAAGCGUGGGGAGCGAACAGGAUUAGAUACCCUGGUAGUCCACGCCGUAAACGUUGGGCACUAGGUGUGAGGCUCCUUUCCGGGGGUUUUGCGCCGUAGCUAACGCAUUAAGUGCCCCGCCUGGGGAGUACGGCCGCAAGGCUAAAACUCAAAGGAAUUGACGGGGGCCCGCACAAGCGGCGGAGCAUGCGGAUUAAUUCGAUGCAACGCGAAGAACCUUACCAAGGCUUGACAUAUACUGGACCGCAUCAGAGAUGGUGUUUCCCUUCGGGGCUGGUAUACAGGUGGUGCAUGGUUGUCGUCAGCUCGUGUCGUGAGAUGUUGGGUUAAGUCCCGCAACGAGCGCAACCC